CUCCCUCUAAUCGCUAGCUUUUAGAGGCGAAUUCUAAAAUAAGAAACAAAUGGUACCAGAGCUUCCACUAUGCCUCCCAAUUACGAUCAGCUUCCACUAUGCCUCCCAAUUACAAUCAUAUAAUUGUCAAGACUAGGUGGAACACCAUAUUACCGUAUUAUGAUCGAUGUUGGCAGUAUGAGAUGCUAAUCUGAGGUAUACCGGUAGAAUGGGAUGCUAGGUAUUAUGGGUGAGUUCUGCUAACGCACGUAAUACUCUCUCUCGCUCUCUCUCCAAUCUCCCGGCCCUGUUAGGGCUGUAAACGCCCCACCCAACCCAAUUGAAAAACAAUGCCCCAAAUUGGAACCUUCAGACUAUUCUUUUCGAGCGGUUACUCAUCUCCUCUCUCCUUUCCCUUCAAGCUUUCAUUCUCUUCUUCUCUUCUGAACAAGUCCAAAACCCUUCAAAAACCUCUCUCUUUUGCCACUGUUUCCUCUUCUUCUGUAAGAAGAGAACGAAAGGUUCCUCCGCCCAGGACUAGAGGCAAUAGUACCCUCCGAGAAGCUAAGAACGAGAAACCGAUGGAGGAGGCCAAGUCUGUCAUGUUCAAUAAGAGGAGAGCUGAAGGGAAAGAUAAGAGUGACAAGCCCAGGACCCUUCAGUUGAAGGUUCGGAAAUUGAAUCCAGUUAACACCAUAUGUUAUGUUCAGAUUUUAGGUACUGGGAUGGAUACGCAGGAUACAUCGCCAUCAGUUCUACUAUUUUUUGACAAGCAAAGAUUUAUAUUUAAUGCAGGAGAGGGGUUGCAGCGGUUCUGUACUGAGCAUAAGAUUAAGUUAUCAAAGAUCGAUCACAUGUUCCUUUCCCGCGUAUGCUCAGAAACUGCAGGUGGACUUCCAGGUCUUCUACUGACUUUGGCUGGCAUGGGAGAGGAAGGAAUGUCUGUUAACAUGUGGGGCCCCUCUGAUCUCAAAUAUUUAAUUGAUGCUAUGCGUUCAUUUAUUCCAAAUGCUGCCAUGGUUCACACCCAUGGUUUUGGGCCAGCACCAAGUGCCAAAGGAUCUGCAGUCUCUGAUAUGGGGAAGUUUACAGACCCCAUUGUUCUCAUUGAUGAUGAGGUUGUUAAGAUAUCUGCAAUUCUCCUACGGCCAAGUUGCUUUGAGGGGCAUCAAGUCAUGAGUGAAGAUUCCACUUUAUUGAAUCCUUCUGUAGGUCCGCAGGAGAAAAAGGAUCAGUUUAUGAAACCCCUUUUACCACAUCCAAAAAGUCCAGAUAGAAAAGUUCUACCAGUGCUGAAGCCUGGUGACGUUUCUGUAGUUUAUGUUUGUGAGUUGCCUGAAAUUAAGGGGAAGUUUGACCCAGCAAAAGCUGCGGCCCUUGGAUUGAAACCUGGUCCAAAAUAUCGUGAACUACAACUUGGGAACUCAGUCAAGUCAGAUCGUCAAAAUAUUAUGGUUCAUCCAAGUGAUGUGCUUGGUCCUUCGGUUCCUGGCCCAAUUGUACUCCUUGUCGACUGCCCUACAUUAUCUCAUUUACAAGAGUUGUUGUCUGUAGAAUCUCUAAGUCCUUACUAUGCUGAUUCUCUGGACGACAAGCUGGAUGAUGUUAAGUCUGUAAAUUGUGUAAUUCACCUGAGUCCAGCUUUUGUUACAAAGACUCCUGAUUACCAGAAAUGGAUGAAAAGAUUUGGUGGGGCCCAACAUAUCAUGGCUGGACAUGAAAUAAAGAACUUGGAAGUUCCAAUUCUAAAAUCUAGUGCAAGAAUUUCAGCAAGGCUUAAUUACCUGUGUCCUCAGUUCUUUCCAGCCCCUGGUUUUUGGUCUCUUCAGCACCUUAACAACUUUGAACCAUACACUUUUUCUAUAAAUGAGUUGGUUUCUUCUUUCCAGGGUUCUGUUCCAAAGCUUUGUGAAGGCAUUUCUGCUGAAAAUCUUCUGAAGUUUACUCUGCGUCCAUAUGCACAGAUUGGGUUGGAUAAAUCUGUUAUUCCAAGCUCAUUGACACCAACAGAGGUCAUUGAUGAACUUAUCUCAGAGAUUCCUGAGAUUACAGAUGCUGCAGAACAAAUUAGCCAGAUAUGGUGCAAGUCCCAAGAAUCUAAAAGACUAUCACCUGUGCAAGAUGAUGUAGUUAUGAUUGAAGAACCAUGGAUAAAUGAGAAUACUUCUAAACCUGAUAAGAUAUCAAGGGAGGAGAUCCCAUGUCUGGAUGCCACUGACAUGGAUGAAGUUAAUAAUGAUCAAACUGUUCCUAGUUGUCUGGAGAAUAUCACACGAGAGGACAUGGAAAUUGUUCUUCUGGGAACCGGUUCUUCACAGCCAUCCAAAUACCGCAAUGUUAGUUCAGUCUAUAUUAAUCUUUUCUCAAAAGGAAGUUUACUGUUGGACUGUGGUGAAGGGACACUGGGUCAACUAAAGAGGAGAUAUGGUGUAAAGGGUGCUGACAAUGCUGUGAGAAGAUUGGAAUUUAUUUGGAUUUCUCAUAUUCAUGCUGAUCAUCAUACCGGUCUAGCAAGAAUACUUGCUCUUCGUCGAGAGUUGUUAAAGGAAGUUGCUCAUGAACCAUUACUUGUUAUUGGGCCAAGGAAGCUUAAAAGAUUUUUGGAUGCGUACCAAAAACUUGAGGAUCUAGAUAUGCAGUUCCUUGACUGCAGGCACACAACAGAAGCUUCAUUGGAUGCCUUCAAGGAUGCUCUUGAAUCUAAUCAAAAUAACUUCACGUCAGGAACUGAUGUUGAAAACUUGAAUAGCAGAGAUGGACAAGGUGUUGCAGUGCAAAAUAUUGAGACAACCUUGUUUGCAAGAGGCAGCCCCAUGCAGAGCUUUUGGAAGAGACCUAGCAGUCCAGUUGACUCUGGUAUGACCUUUGAGCUCCUAAAGAACUUGAAGAAGGUUCUUGGUGAAGCAGGUUUGGAGGCUCUGGUCAGUGUGCCUGUUGUGCAUUGUCCACAGGCAUUUGGUGUUGUCCUGAAGGCGGCAGAUAGAGUCAACACUGUUGGAAAAACUAUUCCAGGUUGGAAGCUUGUCUACUCUGGUGACACUAGGCCCUGUCCUGAACUGAUAGCCGCAUCUCAGGGAGCAACAGUUCUUAUACAUGAGGCAACAUUUGAGGAUGGAAUGGCAGAGGAAGCUAUUGCAAGGAAUCACAGCACAACAAAAGAAGCCAUUGAAGUGGGAGCCUCGGCAGAUGUAUACCGCAUCAUUCUUACACAUUUCAGUCAGAGAUACCCAAAAAUCCCAGUUUUUGAUGAGAAACACAUGCAUAAAACAUGUAUUGCUUUUGACAUGAUGAGUGUGAACAUAGCAGAUUUACCUGUUCUUCCAAGGGUUCUUCCAUAUCUGAAACUCCUCUUUAAAAAUGAAAUAAUGGCUGAUGAAUUUGAUGAAGUCAUUGGUUCAGAAACAUGAAAACAAUGUUCAGAAACUCCUCUUUAAAAAGUGGGAAAGAAUUUUUUUUCUUGAGUAGUAUGGUUUCUAGCUUAAAUUACCACUAACAUUGCCUCAUGUGUGAUCCAAUGUCAACCAACAAGCAGAAAAAAUUUCCAACAUCGCCUAUGCAUGAUAGAUGAAGGCCUUGUUUGGCAAGUCUUUUUGAAAGAUCUUUUGGGCUUUUAGAAGUCUAGUAGACCAAAAAUGGUAUUUUCAUGUUUGGCUAGUAAAAGCCCACUAGACCAAAAGACAGAUCCCGAAAAAGACCCUGAAAGACCAAAGUGGUUUGGAUCUGAGAGGCUCCAAGCCAAGCUUAUGGUCUAUUUGGGCUUCUCAGCUUCCCGAUACUUUGAGAAAAAUUCGACAGAGAAACUCUGACUCCAGCAACUACACAGGCCUUAAGCCUUCUGAAUGGAGACCAGACAAUUGAAAAACAUAGUCUUCCAGAAAAGCCAUCUAGUGUGGGAGCAAAACCCCCUACUGUUCAGAUACCUGAUUUAAUAGAUACUGGUGACUCGGAUGAUUAUUAUUGGAGAUAGUUCAGCUACUGGCUUGAGCACCAAUGGACAUAAGACUGAAGCGGACCCAUUUGCAGAUGUCUCAUUUCAUACAACUGAAGAUAGAGAACCUGUCAAUGACCUAUUUUCAGGGUUGGUGGUUGGUGAUAAAAAGGCUGCUAAUGAAAUCCGCAUGCAAGCAAAUAAAAAUUGAGCACAACUAUUGGAUAUUUUUGGUUCCAUUUCUGAUUCAGAACAAUCAGGUGAUAAAGGGAGUAUAGAUAAUUUAACGGCUGGUUUAUCUGUAGCUGACAAGAGAUCAGAGACUAAGAAACUAAGGAAGCUUCUCCGGGUUGUUUUCAGAAGCUACCCUCUCAAACCCAAGCAUUCAACCAAGUCAUUCGGCAUCAAAUGAUUCUUUGAAUAGCAUAUUUAAUUCUCAAAUGGUUGGAAUGAAUCAAAGUGCUAUGUUUUUAGGUCCCAUGUACAACGCAUCUCCUAACAUGAUGUUCAACCCAGCUUUCGCUUCACAGCCAAUGAAUUUUAUUCUGCUA